CCAAUAGCGUAUAUUAAAGUUGUUGCAGUUAAAAAGCUCGUAGUUGAAUUUCAGGAUCAAUAUGUUGGUCGUGCCUUGGUACGUACUGGCAUUAUUGGUUUCUACCUUCUGAAGAACCUCGAUGUCAUUAAUUUGGUGUCUUGGGGAAUCAGGACUGUUACUUUGAAAAAAUUAGAGUGUUUAAAGCAGGCUCGCGCUUGAAUACAUUAGCAUGGAAUAAUGAAAUAGGACGUUUGAUUCUAUUUUGUUGGUUUCUAGGAUCGACGUAAUGAUUAAUAGGGAUAGUUGGGGGCAUUAGUAUUCAAUUGUCAGAGGUGAAAUUCUUGGAUUUAUUGAAGACUAACUACUGCGAAAGCAUUUGCCAAGGAUGUUUUCAUUAAUCAAGAACGAAAGUUAGGGGAUCGAAGACGAUCAGAUACCGUCGUAGUCUUAACCAUAAACUAUGCCGACUAGGGAUCGGAUGAUGUUAAUUUUUUAAUGACUCAUUCGGCGCCUUACG
rnacentral:rRNA from 1 species